rnacentral:rRNA from 1 species
CCUACGGGGGGCUGCAGUGGGGAAUAUUGGACAAUGGGCGCAAGCCUGAUCCAGCAAUACCGCGUGUGUGAAGAAGGCCUGAGGGUUGUAAAGCACUUUUAAUCGGGAGGAAUAGCGGUCGGUCAAUACCCGGUCGUCUGACAUUACCGAUAGAAAAAGCACCGGCUAACUCCGUGCCAGCAGCCGCGGUAAUACGGAGGGUGCAAGCGUUAAUCGGAAUUACUGGGCGUAAAGCGUGCGUAGGCGGCUGUUUAAGUCAGAUGUGAAAGCCCCGGGCUUAACCUGGGAACGGCAUUUGAUACUGGGCAGCUAGAGUUUGAUAGAGGAGAGGGGAAUUUCAGGUGUAGCGGUGAAAUGCGUAGAGAUCUGAAGGAACACCAGUGGCGAAGGCGCCUCUCUGGAUUAAAACUGACGCUGAGGUACGAAAGCGUGGGUAGCAAACAGGAUUAGAUACCCGGGUAGUC